UACGUAGGGUGCGAGCGUUUAUCGGAAUUACGUGGCGUAAAGUGUGCGCAGGCGGCUGAGCAAGUCGAGUGUGAAAGCCCCCGGGCUUAACUUGGGAAUUGCGCUCGAAACUACUUGGCUUGAGUGUGGCAGAGGAAGGUGGAAUUCCACGUGUAGCGGUGAAAUGCGUAGAGAUGUGGAGGAACACCGAUGGCGAAGGCAGCCUUCUGGGCCAACCACUGGACGCUCACUGCACGAAAGCGUGGGGAGCAAACAGG
rnacentral:rRNA from 1 species